GUUUGCAAAAUCACCGUUUCAAUUUUCUAAUCAAAUCACCCCCAAAAUGGAUCACCAAAUACUACUCGCACCAAAAGCACAAUGACGGAUCUGAAACCGAACGUCCAACCAUCAUCUUCUCUAUCUUCACAUGAUGCUGUAGUUCAAUCGUUCUCCAUUUAAAAUCAAUUCCAGUAAAAGAAUAAUCGACGGUGUUGAAUAAUGGUUCUGAUUCGAAGGUUUCGACAUCAAUACGGCUUCGAGCGACCUGAGGCGCCACAUUCACUAUGAAAUAGUCACCUUCAAUCGUACACUUCUUCUUCUUCUUCUUCUUCGUCUUCUUCUUCUUCUAUAUUUCGAUCUUCCCAGGUUUGUACUUAUUGCGAUUUAAUGGAUUAUUAUUAGCUGAAGUGUUCUUAGAUGAUUCGGUCGAUGAAUAUUACAUUUGACAAGUGACUAUCAACUGAUUAAAAGCAAAUAUAGUCACAAUUUUGCAUUUAGGGUUUUGAUUAUUAAACUUUAAAAUUACAUGUAUAUGUUUGUGCUUUUUUUUUACUUUUAGGUUUUUAGUUUUAGUGAGUUUUAUUUUUUAUUUUUUAAGCUCUACGUAUGUAGUUAUUGUUUUUUUAUUUAUUGAUUUUAGUGCCCAUCACAAUAACACCUAUUCCACAAUAUGUGAUUAUGGUGCAUUCUUGUUUGAUGUUUUGUAUGUGAUGUCUAAUUUGGUGUUUUUUUGGUUAAUUACUUUAGGGCACUGGUAGUUUUAUAUUUGAUAUUGGUAUAUUGUUGAUUUUUUUUUCACAGUGAGGUCAAAAGUACCAAAAGUUGGGCAAACCAAGUCUAGUAUAGACUAUCAAAUAUACCAACAAUAUAUGAUAUACUAGACUCUCACCAACAGUGACGAAGUUUGAGAUUUCCGACCGGAGGGUCGAAGACGUAUAUACCAAAAAUUUCUAUAAAACCGGGGGGUCAAGAACGUAUAUAUCCAAAAAAAAAUUUAUACGAAAACUAAAUACUCUCCACUACUGAGUGAAAAGUUCGGGGGGUCGGCCGCCCCCUCCCGCCCCCACAAAGCUACGCCAUUGCUCACCAAGUGGUUUUUUUUUUUUUACUUUUAAGUUGAAUAUUAUUGGACUCUCACCAAAUCCUCAUAUCAUGAUAGAAUGUUAAAACGUGUAAAAUUGCUAGCAUAUAUGACAAGUACAUUUUGACCUGCUUUUAAGUUUUGUUGUUGCAUUUCUUAUAGUGGAUAAAUAAUACAUGUCUCUUGUAUCCGUUGAACAGCUAGUGAAGCUGGCAAAGAACUCUGUCAUGAAAAGACGCUGAAUUUUGAAGAUUUUAGGGAGCUGAAUUUGAAGCCAAAUUCGGGAAGCUUGUUGAACUCGGGUUCAGCAGAGAUGCAGUUAUACAAGCUCUAAAGCUUUUUGAUGGUUGAUCCAAAAUUUGAUUUGGAUAUGAAUUAAGAUGAUGCGGAAGACGAGUGUUGCAACUAUAGACGGGUCAAGCAUAUAUAUGUUGACAAGUAUGUGUUCAAGCCCUUUAUCUCGGUCUACUAGGAUGAACAUCUGUUAGAUGUGCAAAUUACCAUAGCAUGGGGUCUACAAGUAGCAUGAAUAAAACACUUGGGAGGAUUAUACAACAAUAAAACCGGUCACAAGUUACAAGUUUACUCCUCACCACAACAGCGGUAAUGUGGCCAUGAAACCAUGGAUGCAAAUUUGCAGCACUUUUGGGUCUAAAACAGUGAGUAGAUGGACUUGAAGAAAACAAUCUGGAAAUAGUUUCUAGUUUAUAUGUAAAGUCAUUUUUCGGUGUAACAUUUGUAGAUAGGUUCUGAUUAGAAGUUAAUGUUUUUAAUUAGUAUUAGUAUUUAAAUUGAAAACUUAUGUAUGGAUUGGGUUAUUAUUGUUAAUAUCAUUUGGUUUUUAGUU
rnacentral:lncRNA from 1 species